UGUAGAGCUGGCAACAUCUUACCUCCCUUGUGGACAGAGCACAAUGCUCCAGCACGCAGCAUCUUACCUCCCUUGUGGACAGAGCCUCCUUCCGUCUCCUCCUGUCUUGUCUCCCCCAGUGAGCUUAUUCACUCAUCAACGCUGUGCGGAGCUCAAAAGCAGAGGCAGCUUGCCUGUGGAUUGGUUUUUAUGAUUUAAUCUUCGAAAACCCUGGGAGAUUCCCAAGCUGUAAAUCAACUCUCCCCCAGCAAUCUGGUGGAGAGGAGAGAGGGAGAAUUAACACAAAAGAGUUGUGUGUUCCAUUUGACCUCUCUCUCUCUCCCUCUCUCUCUCUCUCUCUCUGGUUCCCUCUCUCUGCCUUGUUCCUCCUCUGUCCUUCUCUGCAAACAGGAAUGCAACUGCACAAGACGCUCAAACCAAGGAGCCUGUGUAGACCUCAGUGUGUCCCUAUAAGACAGACGGAGGAGGAGGAGGAGGGGGAGGAAGAUGGUUCGAUUGUCAGUAUAAUGAAGCAGUGAUGCGAAGGAAAGGAUUAACAGGGUUGGGCAAAACCACAGAUGACAACAGAAGGGGAAAGAGACGGAGGGAAAAAAAGAUCUGUGAGAAGAGGGAGAGAAUCGCGGGAAUGUACGCUACCGGUCAAAAGUUUGGGGUGUGUUCCUGCCUGGAACACAGAGCUGCAUUGCUGCUGACUACAUUGAUGCUGACUACAUCACUGCUGACUACAUUGCUGCUGACUACAUCACCACAGGAUACACAUUACAGUUUCUCUUGAUUGCUUUGACCUGCUUAAAGAAACUGGGAUCUAUUUGGUCUUCAUUAACACCUUCUUUGCACAGCAUAAGUCAUCUCUUGCAAAUGUGCUCACACAUUUUUAUUGGGUUCAUACAUUUCUCGCACCUUUUUGCAAAAUAGUAAACCCAGAUAUCAU